UGUUUUGUAAGCGACGCAUGAAGGGGGGAAUAGUGUGGGAGCCAAUCAAGGGUUUGAUUCCCUGGUAGUUCACGCCGUAAAAGAGAGAGGGUAAGUGUUAGAAGGGGUUUCGCCCUUUAGUGCUGAAAUUAAAGCAUUAAGCACUCCGCCUGGGGAGUACGGCCGCAAAGGUGGAAAUCAAAGGAAUUGGCGGGGGCCCGCACAAGGGGUGGAGCAUGUGGUUUAAUUUGAAGGAAAGGGGAGAACCUUACCAGGUUUUGACAUUCUUUGACAACCCUAGAGAUAGGGGUUUUCCUUUGGGAGCAGAGUGACAGGUGGUGCAUGGUUGUUGUCAGCUUGUGUUGUGAGAUGUUGGGUUAAGUCCCGCAACGAGCGCAACCCUUGAUUUUAGUUGCCAUCAUUUAGUUGGGCACUUUAAGGUGACUGCCGGUGACAAACCGGAGGAAGGUGGGGAUGAAGUCAAAUCAUCAUGCCCCUUAUGACCUGGGGUACACACGUGGUACAAUGGACGGUACAAAGAGGUGCAAGACCGCGAGGUGGAGGUAAUUUUAUAAAACCGUUUUCAGUUUGGAUUGUAGGGUGCAAAUUGCCUACAUGAAGGUGGAAUUGGUAGUAAUUGCGGAUCAGCAUGCCGGGGUGAAUACGUUCCCGGGCCUUGUACACACCGCCCGUCACACCACGAGAGUUUGUAACACCCGAAGUCGGUGGGGU
rnacentral:rRNA from 1 species